GCACAUCGAAUGUGGCAUAUGCUUGCAGAUCGCAUCUGGCAUAUGCUUGCAGAUCGCAUAUGCUUGCAGAUCGUAUAUGCUUGCAGGUCGCAUAUGUUGUGCUUAUUGUUUGAUGCUGUGAUGCAUAUGAAGCAUAUGAAACAUAGCAUAUGAAGCAUACGAAGAAACAUAGCAUAUGAAGCAUACGAAGGAAAAAAAAAGCGCGCAUCGAAUUGUGGUCCUAUAUGUUUAUAUGUGGAAAAAA
rnacentral:lncRNA from 1 species